UACAGAGGUCUCAAGCGUUGUUCGGAUUCAUUGGGCGUAAAGGGUGUGUAGGUGGCGCCGUAAGUCGGGUGUGAAAUUUCGGAGCUUAACUCCGAAACUGCAUUCGAUACUGCGGUGCUUGAGGACUGGAGAGGAGACUGGAAUUCCCAGUGUAGCGGUGAAAUGCGUAGAUAUUGGGAGGAACACCAGUGGCGAAGGCGGCCUUCUGGUCCAGUACUGACACUCAAGUGCGAAAGCGUGGGGAGCAAACAGG
rnacentral:rRNA from 1 species